CCUACGGGGCGCAGCAGUAGGGAAUUUUCGGCAAUGGGGGGAACCCUGACCGAGCAACGCCGCGUGAACGAAGAAGUUAUUCGUAUUGUAAAGUUCUUUUAACAGGGAAGAAAGAGAACUUUGACGGUACCUGAAGAAUAAGCGCCGGCUAACCACGUGCCAGCAGCUGCGGUAAUACGUAGGGAGCCAGCGUUAUCCGGAAUUCUUGGGCGUAAAGGGUGCGUUGAUGGCAUAGUAAGCCUUUGGUAAAAAUGCUGGGAUCAACCCAGUAGGGCAAAAGAUACUGCAAAGCUAGAGUAUGACAGAGGCAAGUGGAACUACAGGUGUAGCGGUAAAAUGCGUAAAUAUAUGGAAGAACACCAGUGGCGAAGGCGGCUUGCUGGGUCGAUACUGACACUGAGGCACGAAAGCGUGGGGAGCAAACAGGAUUAGAUACCCGGGUAGUC
rnacentral:rRNA from 1 species